rnacentral:lncRNA from 10 species
GCCGAGAUUGCACCAUUGCACUCCAGCCUGGGCAGCAAGAGCGAAACUCCAUCUCAAAAAAAAAAAAAAAAAAAAAAUUAGAACAAAAGGAUGGCACAUCUGAUUUUCUUGACUAAACCAAAUCAUCAUUUUAGCUAGUCAUCACAAGGAAAGUGCUUUUUCAAGGUAAUGAGCUAAGUAGAAGCAUAACUGAAUGCUUACAGCAUCUACUGCAGGAGUUCAACCAGACGCUGAACAGAACAGCAGUUGACUAACCUGUGAUACUGUUAUCAGAUGAAGACCCCUAGGAAGUCUACAGAUUAGAAUGGAAGGAAGAAUCUGGAUUACAGCUUGGAUCAGAGAAGAAGAGUCUUGGUUUUUAUAUAAUUAAGAGGCAAGAAGUAUGGCAAGCAUGGCAAGGAACUCUUAUUUCCAGUUUAAAGAAGGGGCGGGAGUCUCCCUACU